GUGAGGGAUUUUGCGCAAUGGGGGANNCCUGNCGCAGCAACGCCGCGUGAGUGAAGAAGGCCUUUGGGUCGUAAAGCUCUGUCAACAGGGAAGAAGUUAUCAUGCACGAACAGUGUGUGGUAUUGACGGUACCUGUGGAGGAAGCACCGGCUAACUCCGUGCCAGCAGCCGCGGUAACACNGGGGGGUGCAAGCGUUAUUCGGAAUUAUUGGGCGUAAAGGGCGCGCAGGCGGUCUUGCCGGUCAGGUGUGAAAGCCCGGGGCUCAACCCCGGAAGAGCAUUUGAAACAGCAAGACUUGAGUACAGGAGAGGAAAGCGGAAUUCCUGGUGUAGAGGUGAAAUUCGUAGAUAUCAGGAGGAACACUCAUGGCGAAGGCAGCUUUCUGGACUGAUACUGACGCUGAGGCGCGAAGGUGUGGGUAGUGAAUAGGAUUAGAUACCCUGGUAGUCCACACAGUAAACGAUGUUCACUAGGUGUAGCGGGUAUUAAAACCUGCUGUGCCGCAGCCAACGCAUUAAGUGAACCGCCUGGGGAGUACGGUCGCAAGAUUAAAACUCAAAGGAAUUGACGGGGGCCCGCACAAGCGGUGGAGCAUGUGGUUUAAUUCGACGCAACGCGAAGAACCUUACCUGGAUUUGACAUCCUGUGAAUCUNCGAGAGAUCGGGAGAGUGCCUUCGGGAGCACAGAGACAGGUGCUGCAUGGNUGUCGUNAGCUCGUGUCGUGAGAUGUUUGGUUAAGUNCAGCAAC
rnacentral:rRNA from 1 species